rnacentral:lncRNA from 1 species
CUGAGCAGAUGAUGGAGGGACUGGCAGGCGUCCUUGUGCACGAAACUGAGUUCUGGAUGAACUCAGGUUCGGCCGCCGAAAGUCCAAGUUAGGCCGCCGAACAUGCCUGACUUUCGUCUCUGGAGGAGACAUUCGGCCGCCGAAGGUGCUGCCGAAGGUGCCCUGUCCAGCCUUCCUUUGCUUGUUUUGCAUGCAUGUUUUGAGGUGUUUUAGAGGGG